rnacentral:misc_RNA from 1 species
AACGCACGAGACCUGCGGACCUGCGGAAGGAUCAUUACAGGACUCGCGAGACUCCUACAACCCUGUGAACUUAACUAUAAGCACGUUGCUUCGGCGGGUGUCUCGGCGAGGGUUCUCCCUCCCCGGGGCGCUAAGCCCGCCGGCAGCCUACUAUACUCUGUCUCUUUGCGUUGGCAUCUCGAGUACAAACAAACAAGUUAAAACUUUCAACAACGGAUCUCUAGAUCGGAAGAGCACACG